UCAUCAUGGACUACUAUAUCAGUACAGAAGAUAAGAAUUAACCAAUGGAUUUAGGAAUGCCAUGAAGAUGGGAUUAACACAAAAGAUGCUUGGGGCUACUAACUCAUAAGUAAGCCACGUAACGCUGACCAUGGGAGAAACAGCUGGUCCCGAGAUUUACACCUGCAGCCGUGAUUGCCCCUUCGACUUUGAGCAUCAUAGCGAAGUGCUGGUGAUAAGGGUUAUUUAGGAUUUAUGGACAUUGGAAUAUCAACUGUACUGUUUGUAUGACGUCACCAGAAGUGACGUUACGCAUCAUCUGAAGCAGAAUCCCAACUGUGUCUAAUUAUUAAAUGGACCAUUGGAUACAGGGGUAUACACAGCAGCCCUGAUGGAUAAUGUGCAGCGGGUGUGUAACUUGAAUGGAGUGACCUGAGGUGACGCGCUAUACGGCGCCGAUAUAUGUGGAGUCCGGGACACUGAUCUUCAUAACAAUAGGACCGGAAGUGACGUCGCGCCGUAAGGGCGGACGAACAGGUAACCGCGGUAACGAGCCCGUCUGCACGAACCAGCCUCUGGCCAGGGAUUGGAGUUACUAUAGCAACACAGAUGCCUCCAGCAGGAGUCAUGGGACUUGUAGUGUGAAAUUAUGUAUAGGAUCCAGCUGGGCGUCCUGGACUUUCAUCGGCACUUUCAGUAUUCAAAUAGCAGCACGAUUGGAAGGGGCAGUAUUCAGACUCCAAACCUUGACAAAGACCCCAGCUAGGGGUGGAAACGCGUAGGUUAUUUUCCCGACAAGCCGGGGGACGGACUGAAGGACCAGUAUCCAGUAAGAGCUAUUGCCUGCAUGGUGGUAAUAUCCGGAAAUCCCUAAUACCAUCUUUCAUGCGCUUUCAGAACUGUUUAGCCGCAGUUCUGAAGUAUCUGGUAAUUAGCCUGUCUUCCUAUUGCUUAAAAGGGACUCGUGCAAUAUCUGAUCAUUCAUUUUAUUCUGUAUUUUACUGU